rnacentral:rRNA from 1 species
UACGGAGGGGGCUAGCGUUGUUCGGAAUUACUGGGCGUAAAGCGCACGUAGGCGGCUUUGCAAGUUAGAGGUGAAAGCCCAGGGCUUAACCCUGGAAUUGCCUUUAAGACUGCAUCGCUAGAAUCGUGGAGAGGUGAGUGGAAUUCCGAGUGUAGAGGUGAAAUUCGUAGAUAUUCGGAAGAACACCAGUGGCGAAGGCGACUCACUGGACACGUAUUGACGCUGAGGUGCGAAAGCGUGGGGAGCAAACAGGG